rnacentral:misc_RNA from 1 species
UGGAAGAUGAAGAUAGCUCAACCUUAAGGCUGGAAGAAUAUUGCUCUUUUCGUCAGGUAAAUCCCAUAUCUCACUUUUCAACACUUCCUUCCACGCAUUAGGAUUUCGUUUACCUCUUAAGAGCCCUCCAAGAGCUUUUGCUGCCAAAGGUAAUCCUCCACAUCUUUUCACAAUCUCUUCACCCAUUUCUUUUAACUCGAAGUGCUCGUCAAAACUUCUUGUUCCCAAAGCAUGUUGGGCAAACACGUACAAGCACUCAUUGUAUGAUAGCUCCUUGAGAGGAUAAGCUGGAGUAGUGCCCAUCAUCAAUGAAACCUCCUGACUCCGAGUUGUGACAAUGAUUCUGCUUUUAGGUGCCCCCGCUUCAAAAGGACCCCGAAACAGAGUCCAUUCCUCAUAGUUCUCGGUCCAGACGUCAUCCAGGACAACUAAAAAUUUUUGUCCAACCAGCCUCUGCUUUAAUUUCAACUGGAUUGAAUUCAAAUCCUUAUCAUCAGCACGAUCAUCCAAUUGAAGAAAAAUUGUUUUGGUGAUCCUGAAGACAUCGAAAUCUUCGCCAAUAGAAACCCAAAAUUUCAAAUCAAAAUCCAAAGCGGGAUCAUUGUAGAUGAGCUGAGCUAAAGUUGUCUUGCCAAUACCCCCCAUGCCAACUAUGGGAAGCACUGAGACAUUUUCAUAGCUGGCUUCAGCCUUCAAAAAUUCAAGAAUCGCCUUCUUUUCUUCGUCCCUGCCAUAAAUCUUUGCUUCAUUCACUAAAGAAGUUGCAGGUAUUCUCUCCCUCACAUGCCUAACACUUCUUGUACUGGACUCUCCUAAUUUCAGCCAAUCUUUUUGUUCUAUGAUUUCAUCUACUCUAGCAGUAAUACCCUCUAUCUUGGAAACCAUCUCAGCACUGAACUUAACAGUAUUUUUCAGAUUCACACCAAAAGAGAUUCUAUGAAAGAUUUUCUGCAACUUACUUGCACGGGAUAAUGGUAUCUCGUCAAACUUGCGUCGAUGUACCUCGGUGGCAAGUUCAUCAAGGACGUCCUCCAGGUCGUAAGCCAAGUCUCUGAGAUCAGUCACCCAGAUCUUCACAGAGAGAUUUGUCAUCUGCUUCUCCUCUGC